AGCAAAGAGCUGCCUGUGUAUUUAAGGCAUCACCUCCCUGAGUAAAACCUCUCCCUCCCAGCUCCUCCGCACAGCUGGGGAAGGCGAGGAAGCAACUUCGUUCCUGGCUUUGGGACGAAAAUUCUAUCCCACUUUAGCCCUGAAAUAUGUUCCUCCCCUGGGCGUCUGUUCUUACACUACUUCCGAUUCUGGAAGGGGCUAAUGGAGAGUCAGUGACACAACCUGAUGACCGAGUGACUGUAUCCCAAGGGGAACCAGUGCUGCUGAGAUGCACCUAUAAUACCACCCUGAUUCCCACACUCUGGUGGUACGAGCAGCGCCCAAAUGAAGCCCCUCGCCUCUUGCUGACACAAUAUGAAGCGUCCGAUGAGGAGGCGAGAAGGAGCCGGCGGGGGUUCUCCGCCACACCCGACAAACAGGGGAAGACCUUCCACCUGAAGAAAAGCUCCAGUGAACUGCGCGACUCCGCCGUCUAUUACUGCGCCAUGAGCGACACA